rnacentral:rRNA from 1 species
CCCUUAGAUGUUCUGGGCUGCACGCGCGCUACACUGAAGCGUUCAACGAGUAUUCACCUUGCCCGGGAGGGUUGGGUAAUCUUUUGAAAACGCUUCGUGAUGGGGAUAGAUUAUUGCAAUUAUUAAUCUUCAACGAGGAAUUCCUAGUAAGCGCGAGUCAUCAGCUCGUGCUGAUUACGUCCCUGCCCUUUGUACACACCGCCCGUCGCUCCUACCGAUUGAACGAUCCGGUGAAUUAUUUGGAGUAGCUCUGGAAGUUGCAGAACUUCCUAUGUCACGAAAUUUUGUAAACCUUAUCGUUUAGAGGAAGGAAAAGUCGUAACA